GGCGGUAUGGCGGAAUUGGCAGACGCGACGGCUUCUGGAGCAAUCGAGUGUCUCGGUUUCUCCACAAGCCGUUGCCUUCGGGCGUGAGGGUUCGAUCCCCUCUACCGCUA
rnacentral:tRNA from 1 species